UGGGGAAUAUUGGGCAAUGGGGGAAACCCUGACCCAGCAACGCCGCGUGAAGGAAGAAGGCCUUCGGGUUGUAAACUUCUUUUACCAGGGACGAAGGACGUGACGGUACCUGGAGAAAAAGCAACGGCUAACUACGUGCCAGCAGCCGCGGUAAUACGUAGGUUGCAAGCGUUGUCCGGAUUUACUGGGUGUAAAGGGCGUGUAGGCGGAGAUGCAAGUUGGGAGUGAAAUCCAUGGGCUCAACCCAUGAACUGCUCUCAAAACUGUAUCCCUUGAGUAUCGGAGAGGCAAGCGGAAUUCCUAGUGUAGCGGUGAAAUGCGUAGAUAUUAGGAGGAACACCAGUGGCGAAGGCGGCUUGCUGGACGACAACUGACGCUGAGGCGCGAAAGCGUGGGGAGCAAACAGGAUUAGAUACCCUGGUAGUCCACGCUGUAAACGAUGAAUACUAGGUGUGGGAGGACUGACCCCUUCCGUGCCGCAGUUAACACAAUAAGUAUUCCACCUGGGGAGUACGACCGCAAGGUUGAAACUCAAAGGAAUUGACGGGGGCCCGCACAAGCAGUGGAUUAUGUGGUUUAAUUCGACGCAACGCGAAGAACCUUACCAGGAUUUGACAUCCAACUAACGAAGUAGAGAUACAUCAGGUACCCUUCGGGGGAAGUUGAGACAGGUGGUGCAUGGUUGUCGUCAGCUCGUGUCGUGAGAUGUUGGGUUAAGUCCCGCAACGAGCGCAACCCCUAUUGUUAGUUGCUACGAAAGAGCACUCUAGCGAGACUGCCGUUGACAAAACGGAGGAAGGCGGGGACGACGUCAAAUCAUCAUGCCCCUUAUGUCCUGGGCUACACACGUAAUACAAUGGCGGUCAACAGAGGGAAGCAAAGCCGCGAGGUGGAGCAAAUCCCUAAAAGCCGUCUCAGUUCGGAUUGCAGGCUGCAACUCGCCUGCAUGAAGCUGGAAUUGCUAGUAAUCGCGGAUCAGCAUGCCGCGGUGAAUACGUUCCC
rnacentral:rRNA from 1 species